GCACUGGAGAGCAAACUGUCUGCAAUAACGGAAGAAUUAGAAAAGGCAAGAGAACUGAAAGCCAUGUUAAGGAACAAACUGGAUGGCAUGAAACAUGAGAAGGCAAAUGAUAACAAAGAGGACGGCAAGGAAAAUGCAAGGAAUCUGAUGGGCCAGUGGACAAAGAUAUUCGGUUAUAAAACCAGGAUGGUGAGACCAAAAACCAGUAGAGUGCUG